UAGGGGAUUCACCGUCAGUGCUUAGUGGCGAAUGGGUGAGUAACAGGUGGGCGAUCUACCGUGCAUCUGGGACAAGCCCUGGAAACGGGGUCUAAUACCGGAUAUGACCGUCUUGGGCAUCCUUGACGGUGUAAAGCUCCGGCGGUGCAGGAUGAGCCCGCGGCCUAUCAGCUUGUUGGUGAGGUAACGGCUCACCAAGGCGACGACGGGUAGCCGGCCUGAGAGGGCGACCGGCCACACUGGGACUGAGACACGGCCCAGACUCCUACGGGAGGCAGCAGUGGGGAAUAUUGCACAAUGGGCGAAAGCCUGAUGCAGCGACGCCGCGUGAGGGAUGACGGCCUUCGGGUUGUAAACCUCUUUCAGCAGGGAAGAAGCGAGAGUGACGGUACCUGCAGAAGAAGCGCCGGCUAACUACGUGCCAGCAGCCGCGGUAAUACGUAGGGCGCAAGCGUUGUCCGGAAUUAUUGGGCGUAAAGAGCUCGUAGGCGGCUUGUCACGUCGGUUGUGAAAGCCCGGGGCUUAACCCCGGGUCUGCAGUCGAUACGGGCAGGCUAGAGUUCGGUAGGGGAGAUCGGAAUUCCUGGUGUAGCGGUGAAAUGCGCAGAUAUCAGGAGGAACACCGGUGGCGAAGGCGGAUCUCUGGGCCGAUACUGACGCUGAGGAGCGAAAGCGUGGGGAGCGAACAGGAUUAGAUACCCUGGUAGUCCACGCCGUAUACGGUGGGCACUAGGUGUGGGCAACAUUCCACGUUGUCCGUGCCGCAUCUAACGCAGUAAGUGCCCCGCCUGGGGAGUACGGCCGCAAAGCUAAACUCACAGGAAUUGACGGGGCCCGCACUAG
rnacentral:rRNA from 1 species